UACGGAGGGGGGCUAGCGUUGUUCGGAAUUACUGGGCGUAAAGCGCACGUAGGCGGCUUUUGUAAGUUAGAGGUGAAAGCCCAGGGCUUAACCCUGGAAUUGCCUUUAAGACUGCAUCGCUAGAAUCGUGGAGAGGUAAGUGGAAUUCCGAGUGUAGAGGUGAAAUUCGUAGAUAUUCGGAAGAACACCAGUGGCGAAGGCGACUUACUGGACACAUAUUGACGCUGAGGUGCGAAAGCGUGGGGAGCAAACAGG
rnacentral:rRNA from 1 species